GUAUUCUGCACGGACUGCUGGGCAGCACUAGCACUCUGGAGAAGGUCUGCCGCUGUCUGCACUUUCCUGGUUCUAUGCAGGCAGAUGAGUGUCACAGCUGUAACUGAGGCACAGAGCAGUACACACAGUGGAGCCGAUUUCCGCGAUGGCGAGAGGGGGCACCGGAGGUGACAACAAUAACAAGACUGUCCUUCGGACAAGUUUUAGCGCUGAAUAUCUUCAGGAAAAUGGGUUCCAUGAGAAGUGACAUCCUCCUCGAAUCAAAAGAUUCUCAGGAUGAUGGAGUGAGUGAUGGAAUAGGUUGCCAACUGUAGUUACUCCACUCAGCACAGAAUGGCUGCGGGGAAAUAUAAUCAGACAUGCCCAAAGAAGUCUGCUUAGGGUGAAACAAAUACCUUUGAGGUUUAAAUCAGGAAGGAGAGACUGUUUCUACAGGUGUCAUACAAAAAUCAAUACUGAGCCAAGGAUUAUUGGAUCCCAUAGAACCACGGAGACUUGGUAGUGAAAUUCUUCCAAAGCAUUCCAUCCGUGCAGGCAGAUGGUGUUCCUAGGUUUGGAAAUAUAAAUCCCAUGGGAAGUCAGCUGAAGACCAUUUUAUGCAUCACUCAUCCUGUUAGAGCCCUGUGCUGUUCUGUCUCUCUAUAAGACUGGCUGAAACCACCACGGUUGUUUACAAUUUAUGCUCUAACUUUGGAUCACCUAGUUAAUACUCUAACUCCGAUUAUUACCAAAGACAAUGUUCUAUAAAAGAUAUUGUCUAUUAGAAGGAUGCUUCUGCAUUAUUAAUAAAAUCACAGGGAAAAUGCAACAUUUUGGAUGUCACAUCUGAUAAGUGGGUGACUGAUCGUACCCGCCAGCUGGCUAAUGUCAUAAUUAACAAAGUUGCUACUACAUCUGCAAAGUUUAAUCGAAAAAUUUGCCAGUGAUAUGAUGGCCUUGUCACAGAGAUCACAAGGGACACGGAGUUGACUUUUGCUCAAGGUGGAACGACAGAGCUGUGUAGGCAAGAUGAGAAAUUGCGAACUUGUUCGGCCAAAG
rnacentral:lncRNA from 1 species